ACCUAAUCGAACCCAUCUAGUANCUUGGUUCCCCCCACCGAAGUUUNCCCUAAGGAUUAACUGGAAGCCCAUUUACGAGUUCUANCGGGUAAAANCCAAUGAUUAGAGGCAUUCGGGGGCGCAAACGCCCUCGACCUAUUCUCAAACUUUAAAUAGGUAGGACGGCGCGGCUGCUCCGGUGAGCCGCGCCACGGAAUCGGGAGCUCCAAGUGGGCCAUUUUUGGUAAGCCAGAACUGGCGAUNCGGGAUGAACCGGAACCCUGGUUACGGUGCCGAACUGCGCGCUAACCUAGNACCCANAAAGGGUGUUGGGCGAUUUAGACAGCAGGACGGUGGUCAUGGAAGUCGAAAUCCGCUAA
rnacentral:rRNA from 1 species